UGUUCUACGUGUAUUAUGGAAUAAUGAAAAGAUCCCAUGCCACCACCUUACUAUUUACACGGGGCAAAUUAGUCAAGUACAGGUCCACAUGACUUGGAAGUACUUUGGAAUAGCCUAUAAAUAGGAGUGUAGAGGAAAUGAAGGCGACAAUCCUAUCUAGAAAUGAAGACGAUCGUUCUGAUUUGCGUUCUGCUGGCCUCCCUUCUUUUCUCCUCCCCUUCGUUUAUUGUGGCUCGCGAACUACUAGCUACUCCUCGGGAUGGAUCUACUGUUGGAACGGGGAAACCCAACAAGCCAAAAGUAUCAUGCGGAGAUCAUCCGGGUGAUCCAUAUGGUAGAUGCAUAGGAUCAACACCAAAGCCGCCCCACAAGUGUCAGCCAAAAGGCGUAUAUGGAGGCCGCGCUUGCAAGCCACCUCAAGGACCUUGAAUCAGUAGUACUACUUAAUUAUUGUGGUGUGGUGAAAGUAUGAAUAAAUAGUACUUAUGUUAUGCUUUGAGAAUAAAUAGGAUUUCGUUGGACUUGACCAUGAUUAAUAUUGUAAUGGAGCUCGUUCGAUCGAGCUUCCUUCAUGCAGUAUGGAAAUAUAUAUGUAAAAUAUGCUGCAUCUUGAUAUGCUGUACUAGUGUUUGCCAAUAAAUUAAAAAAUGGAGCUGACCGAAAUAGUUUUGGUCAUCUUGUUGUCCUAUA